CUGUUCCCUCUUCUGCCUUCUCCCAGCUGCCCGACCUCAUGACGGUUCAGUUGUCUGAAGGUACUUUGUUGUAAAUUGGAGUUAACUGGUGGGACGUGGCUGCUGCUCACACAGUCCUCUCUGGAACAUUCAAGCAGGAUCUGGGAGACUUGUUAAGCACAAGAAGGAAACCGGGACGCUUAUCUCUGCAGAAGACUAGGAUGGCCGCUUGUGGGUCGUGCUUCUGGUGCAUCGUGUGGCUGGUGGUCCUGCUGCUUAUUGGCUGGCCCAUCAGCAUCACCUUGGGGGGUCUCUACGGCCUAAUUAGCCCCCUCACUACCUGCCUGGGUUUGGACCGCCUCUCUGAUUUACUGCUGGAGGGAGCCAACGUGGGCCGGACCUGUGCCAACAACAUGAGACACGCCAAGCCUUUGUGCUGAGAAAUCGACACGGAUCAGAGCCGACGUCGGGGCCUUCACCUGAAGAGAGAACUUCCCUUUCAGAACUGUUCAUGUCUGUGUGUUUUUUUUUAAUAAGUUUCAAAAAGAUCUGAAAAAUGGUUUCCUCUCCGGCUGUUAACACAAGUAUUAACCUCAGAAUUCUCAUUUGUUUGGGUUUUUCAGGAGGAAAAUAGGCUUUGGGUUCACGGUCUGAGCUUGCUGUUUAAUUCAUGAUGACGCUGCGUGCAGAAGAUAAGCAGGAAAAUAGCUAUUUAACAAUAGACAUAUUUUGACUUUUAAAUGACUAUGGAAAGUUAUAAUACGAUUAAAAAUGCUUUUGAACUUGCCCUCGGUGUUUGUUGAUUGGUUGCCGGUGUGCAGCGCUCGGAUGCAAAUUCAUGCUGUGAAAUCUGGAGGUAAAUAAAGUCUGAACCGACUCGUUUUAAA